rnacentral:rRNA from 1 species
AUUGAACGCUGGCGGCAUGCUUUACACAUGCAAGUCGAACGGUAACAGGUUAAGCUGACGAGUGGCGAACGGGUGAGUAAUGCAUCGGAACGUGCCCGAUCGUGGGGGAUAACGCAGCGAAAGCUGCGCUAAUACCGCAUACGAUCUGAGGAUGAAGGCGGGGGACCGUAAGGCCUCGCGCGAUCGGAGCGGCCGAUGUCAGAUUAGGUAGUUGGUGGGGUAAAGGCCCACCAAGCCGACGACCUGUAGCUGGUCAGAGAGGACGACCAGCCACACUGGGACUGAGACACGGCCCAGACUCCUACGGGAGGCAGCAGUGGGGAAUUUUGGACAAUGGGCGAAAGCCCGAUCCAGCAAUGCCGCGUGCAGGAAGAAGGCCUUCGGGUUGUAAACUGCUUUUGUACGGAGCGAAAAGGUCCUUUCUAAUACAAGGGGCUCAUGACGGUACCGUAAGAAUAAGCACCGGCUAACUACGUGCCAGCAGCCGCCGUAACAC